rnacentral:rRNA from 1 species
CCGCUAUUGGAGUUCGAUUAAGCCAUGCGAGUCGAGAGUCCUCGGGACUCGGCGUACCGCUCAGUAACACGUGGGUAACCUGCCCUAUGCUGGGGAAUAACCUCGGGAAACUGAGAAUAAUGCCCCAUAGCCCACUACGCCUGGAACGGUGAGUGGGUCAAAGCUCCGGCGGCAUAGGAUGGGCCUGCGCCGUAUCAGGUUGUAGGGGGUGUAAAGUACCCUCUAGCCAUCAACGCGUACGGGUGUUGGGAGACAUUGCCCGGAGAUGGAUUCUGAGACACGAAUCCAGACCCUACGGGGUGCAGCAGGCGCGAAAACUUGGCAAUGCGAGCAAUCGUGACCAGGGAACUCCAAGUGCGUAGGGUAAGACCUACGCUUUUCUUGACUCUUCAAAGGUCUUGGAAUAAGGGGUGGGUAAGGACGGUGCCAGCCGCCGCGGUAAUACCGGCGCCUCAAGUGGUAGUCGCUUUUAUUGGGCCUAAAACGUCCGUAGCCGGUCUGGUGCAUUCGUGGGUAAAUCAACCCGCUCAACGGGUUGAAUUCUGCGAGCACGGCCAGACUUGGGACCGGGAGAGGUGUGGGGUACUCUCAGGGUAGGGGUAAAAUCCUGUCAUCCUGAGAGGACCACCUGUUGCGAAGGCGCCACACUAGAACGGAUCCGACGGUCAGGGACGAAACCUAGGGGCACGAACCGGAUUAGAUACCCGGGUAGUCCUAGGUGUAAACGCUGUGGACUUGAUGUUGGGGGCGCUCCGAGCGCUCUCAGUGUCGAAGCGAAGGUGAUAAGUUCACUGCCUGGGGAGUACGGUCGCAAGGCUGAAACUUAAAGGAAUUGGCGGGGGAGCACUGCAACCUGAGGAUUGUGCGG